rnacentral:lncRNA from 1 species
GGUCGUUUGGUACACAAGCGAAAUACCCGUCUUACCAAUUUUUGACCCAAUUGUGAGCCUCCAUUUUCCGUCAGGCCCGGCCCAUGCAGUUGUUGGGUCCCUAAAGUCUUUCGGUCCAAUGUGACGUGGGGGCACCAAAACCGGGUUACCCGGGUACUUGACCCAAUCAAGGAGGAGAGGAUCAGAGGGAUCUGCCGGGUAUGCAAGAUUUUGCACCUGCACUGAUUUAUCAGUGCUCCCAGUGUAAAGCAUUACGAUCUGGCCGUCGGGAAGGAUCGUGGCAGACCCCGUCCACACACCGUUGAUAUCAUACCACUGAUCGGGGACCAUCGCAAUCGGGAGAUAGAGCCAGUGAAUCAGGUCCGUUGACGCAGCAUGGCCC